UCUACUGCGGGCAAGAGCCCGGCCGCCAUUUCGCUGUGGGCCGGGGCGGGGCCCCGCCGCACCGGGACACCGGAGCCGCUACGUGCGCGGAGGGGGUGGCGCUGCUGAGGACGGCAGCUCUGUGUGCCCAUGAAAGAACCCCACGCCUGGUCUGCAGGGGUUUGGAAGGGCUGCGAGAGCGGGGUGAAGCGGCAGUAUGCACCUGGGCAUGGAUAUACGGCACGCCUGGCUCAGGGAUGCUUUGAAACGAGGGGAAUAGACUCAGCUAUAUAUCCUUACAUAGAUUCAUAUAUCCUCUGAAAUGCCUCAGAGUCAAGUUUACUACUGAAGACAACUAAGGAAAAUCACUUGCAAGUCAGUCUUUGUGGGGUGAGUCUUAAUACCAGUUGGCUUUGUCUCUGUGCUACAAAGAAGCAAGACCUCCUUCGUGGAGGUCUUAAGUUAUUGCCAGCAUUUCUAAAUGCUUCCCUUCCUUAACUACGUAGGUGUAUAAAUACGUGCUUGCUUGGUUUCUCCCAUGAUAGCAGAUAUUUAAGAUUCAGGAUCACCACUUUUUUAGUGUAACUUCCUCUGUGCUGCUGGUACAUAGAAUAUUGAGUUGUAGAACCAUGCAAUGGUUAGGGCUGGAAAAGACUCUCAGUAUCAUUGAGACCAAUGAUCAGCACUGCUGUGUUCACCACUAAACCAUGUCCCCAAAUGCCAUGUUUAGACAUUCUUUGAACACUUCCAGGAUAGUGACUCCACUCGGGGCAACCCGUUCCAAAGCCUGAUCCUUUCAGUGAUCAGUUUUUCCUACUCUAAACUCUUCUGGGAAAAUGGCACUUGUGGAUCUUUCUUCUUGUCCUAUCGCUUUUGUGUGACCUGGGAGAAGAGGCCAACCCCCACCUCACCACAACCUCCUUUUGGGAAAAAGUAGAAAGCAGCAAGAUCUCCCCUGAGCCUCUUUUUCUCCAGGCUGAAGAGCUUAUAGGCAUCCCUUGCAGCACUCCAGUUGUGUGAGUCAUCCCACCAGUAUGAAGAGGUUCUUCCAUUUGGGAUCAGUACUUGCCCUUCUGACCUAGUGAAAGAGAGUAGUGAGCCUUUCUGUGAGUUGUCCUCAGAAAUUACCAGACACACACCCCAGAAAUCAAUGCACAAAAUCCAUUCUGAAUUCCGAGUUAACCUUCAUGGUGGAAUUCUGGUCGGCUUGAGAGGUCAUUGAGGCAAUAGUUCACUACAAACCUUACUUCUGCUGCUGUUAUAAGCAACCCGGGGUGAAAUUCUGCCAUCUGUAGUCAACAAAUAUUGUACCUGAACCAUGCAAAACAGCUGAGGGAAUGUGCUGACACAGGAUUUUUAACCAGCCAGUAACUUCGUGUUACAAAACAUAUACAAGAAGAACAGGAAAAUCGAGUCAUAGUAAAGGUUGGGAAAGAAUUUGGGAUUUCUUAGCUCAAGGCAGUAUCAAAGAUUACAAUAGAGCAAUAGUAAAAACUAUUGCUAUGGGCAAGGACAUAUUCCAAAGAAUUUCUGUAUGUGUGGAAUGAUCCCAAAGAGGUUUGGAGACAGACUGUGGGGUAAGAACACAGUCUGCUGAACCACACUGAUGCCUUGUGUUUUAAUUGAUUUAAAUUGAUUGCCUUGCUUUAAAUGAUUCCUCUUCUAUGCCUAAAGAACUGUUUGUGAUAAUCAUUUUUCCUUGCAUGAAACCCAAUUGUACAAGACACUACUACUGUUAUUUAUUACUGUUCAUUAUUGUUUAUUAUUAUUGUUAGAUACUUUUAUAUUAAUUACUGUUAAUUGCUGUUUAUAUUAAUUACUGUUAGAUACUUAUCUAUUAUUAUUUACAGUUAGAUAUGUACUGCUAUUAGAUACUUAUUUACUAUUAGA